AUGGCGGCUACUCACAUACGCAAGCUUACGUAUACUUGUGCACCAAUUUUUAGCGUUAAAUUGUUGCUAAAGUUAUAGUAAUAUACACCGCUUAAACUAGCUACUGGCACAAAAACAAAUGUCUUUGCAUAUUUUUAAGCAGUUCUUUUUCUUUGUUGCAAAAUUGCGUAAUUUGAAAGCUGUGUAAUUUAGACGUUUGUAAUAUGACACUUGCAGUUAGUGUUAAGUGCUCAAAUUAUACACAUAACGACGUCACAAUUUGUAUGCUUCUAUUGUUGUUGGCAUAAUUUCGACCUUCUUUUGACACACUUUAUUACAUCACUGCUAGAAUGCUAGUAUUUCAGUGCGUGUGUGUGUUUUUAUAUUUAAUUUUCUUAUAAUUUGCCGCCUUGUGCUGAGGUUAUUAGGUUAAUACGCCUCUUUUGUUGUUGAAUAUUUUUUUUUUUAUUACUACACAGUCGCAUUAUUUUCUUUUAAUUUUGCUAAGCAAAGGGGGCUUCUAAGUUCACAAUUUUUUGUAUUUUUUGUAAUUAACUCACAGUUAUUCUUUUCCCAGUCUUUUUACUCUCUUUCAUGUUUUGCUCAAUAAUCGUUUUAUCUUAACUUUACUGUUUACUUUAUUGUCCCCAUUCAAUACCCACCGUAUUUCUUUGUGACAUUAUCUAAUAUUUUCCCACUCUUAUUAUCUCUCUGUUAUCACACAACCCAUUUGCCAACAAACCGCAAUACCCGUCGUUCUCUAUCUUAUCAUCGCGUUAGUUAUCGCACUCCACACAAUCACAAAGCAUAGCAAUAAAUUUCGUCAUAUUUUCUUUACUCUUCCCCAAAAUGUAAAACUAUUUGAGUUCGUAAGCUUUCGUACCCCUAAACCCAUAUACUACAUACAUAUGUAUAUGUAUGCAUACAUUUUUAUUCACUUGUAUAUUGUACAUUGUAUAUGUAUAUACAAUAGUAAGCGCGUUGCAAACUUUCCUCGAUGCGCAUCACAUCAAUUUUGUGCUCGUCUGAUCCAAUACUCAUAUUGAGCCACUUACAAGCAAAUACCCAGCUUGCUAAAAUGAAUCUCCAGCUUUUGUUGAGGUGCCUUUGCGCACAAGCUAGUCGACGCCAACAACUGCUGUGGCCAGUGUGUGGCCUUUGAUAUGAGCACGCAUUAAUACAAUUUGUUUUGCUGCAAUAAUUAUUUUAUUUACACCGUGAGAAACGAAAAAUUUCUGUGAAUUUGACGAGAUGAUUCAUCGAACAUGUGGGUAAAGCGUAUAUCUGUAAUUAGGUGUGCAUAUUAGUCAGCAGCAAAAAAUUUUCAGAUAAAAACGUUGAAUGGAAUUAAUUUAAGGGUAACGAGUUGAUGGUCAAUGAUGUCAUUAUAACUAAUAUUAUUCACUCGUAAAAAUUCAUUGCUAUUAUUUAUGUUUUCAUAGUGAAUUUUCGUAUUUUAUUACUAAGACGAGAAGAUAUUCCAGCUUCUGCUAGGAGCUGGAAAAAUAAGAUAACCAAGUGACAAUAAUUUCAUGAUAUUGACAAAAAUGCCAUCUGUCUCACUAGCGUACAAAUACAGAAAUACGGAAGUAUCUAAAAACGAUAUACACUAAAACUUUCGAAAGAACGGAGCAGAGCGAGAUGAAUUGCCUUAUACCCAUGCAGGAUCGCCAAGAUCAUGUGCAAGACCUUCGUAAGAAAACUCGCUUAAUUUUUACUCAUACAGGACUGCCGGAUGGUUGUUGACCUCUUGACUGCCAUCACAUGCGGGCCAGAUAGGCAUGAGUCAGUAAUACUUGCAGAAAGUGCUGAUAAUCAGGUGUAAGAGAGUCACUGGGUAACCACCUAUGCCUCUGUCCAGCAUUAUCCAGAACUCGUCUUAAAUAGCUAGGAGCUUCGCAGCUGAAAUGACUAGACGAAGUAUUAAACUUAGAUAUCAAGGAGCUCUUAAAGUUCUCAAAAAACUUUGACGUUCUAUAUGACGAAUACUUUACCUCAUAUUAAACUGAACCUCCAUCAGGCAUUACUAAGAUCCAGUAUGUCUAUGUGUGGCGUGACAGCCGGACAGUAUAACCUAACCUAAAAACAAAACUUUAAAGUCGAAUUUUUGACCUAAGGUAAAUUUAUUAUUAAGCUUAAAAUACGCGUGUAAUGCUACGCGUCCUUGAGCAUAAGCUGUUUCCCAGUUGAAUUUCCAACUUUAAUUUCUUUCAGUGCGCUUUUCAUUAUAAUUAUGCUAUCUCUGCCUGUAGUCAUCAUUUUGGCAGUUGUUUUGUGCUCAAUUCUAAUGUGAAACUUUAUUAGCAGACAACAGUAGUUGUAGUAGUCAAUGAAAUCACCCACAAUUAGUCUUCACAAUUGCCGACAUUAGUUGACUUAUAAUUGCUUAACUUGGUCCAUUGUUGAACUUAAGGGUCAAUUAUGUCAUGUUUGUCAGUGUGAUUGAAUUACAUUGAAAACAAAUAGUGAGCCCACACAGAUCCAUACGUAAAGCCACUUCUGCGUGUAUAUGUUUCAAGUACACUCUCAGGCAAAAGUGCAAAGUUGAAGACACCACUUAGCUUUUGCAUAAGCACCGGCUUAAAUAAUAUAUAAAUAAUAUAUGUAUAUGGUACAUGUAGUUGUACAUAAUUAAAGUUGGCUAAAUCUGGAUUUAAGCCACACAAAGUGCAGUUAACUGCGCGUACUUAAGUAUAAGUGAUGUAUGGACAGCUAUAUACUCGUAAAUCAGUUAGUAUAAUUGUGGUCCUUGUUAUUAUUGCUUUAAGUGCUCUCGCGUGUACCAUAGAGCUGUCUAUAUUUUGACUAAUUAUUUUGGUAACUUAAUAUAUUGCGUUAAACUGCUGCAUUUAGUGCUUAAUGUAGUUUAAUGAGGAUUUGCUUAGUCGAUUUGAAUUUGUAGUACAAAUAUUUCAUUAAUGAUUUGGUAGCUCUAAUUAUAUUCUCCUAAUUAUUUAGUCUACUUUUUUCUUCAAAUUUGUUAAUAACAUUUCAGCGUUUGCAUAUAUGUAUGUAGAGUAACUUAUUAUUAUUUCAUUGGAGCCUUAAAGACUGGCACAACUGUGCGAAAGCCUAAAAAAGCGGUCUUAGAAAAGACCACACUUGCAAAGACCACACUAGUAUGGGUGUCAGGCAGCAACUGUAGGCUGAUGACUCGAGUACCCUAGUUAUGCUGUCAGUAUAAUGAGAACAGAUUAGUGCUUUCCUUUCCUCGUGGGUUCUACUAUUCGACAGCUGGGUUACAAUCGUUUCAUUCGUUCUUGUAAGAUUGCAAAAGAUCUAGUGAGUUAUUUUCCCUCAGUAAGGUCUCUCAUCAAUUUGGAGCUUCUCUAUGUAAGGUUGAAAGUCUUAACAGACCCCAGCUACAGAAGCUGCACUUCCUUCUUGAUUGUUCCUCGUUUGCGACUCAACCAUUUUAGAGCUCAAAUUUUCAGAUAUCCCACUGAACAGGUGGGAAGGUGAUAAAACGCCUGAGCAAAAUUUUAUUGUAGUCCAAGUGCGUUCACUGGAUCAACCAGCAAACCUAACCUAACCUCAUCAACCUCGAUGUUUAUGGAUGUUUUUGGCCUGCCCAGUAAUCGGUCAAGCAAAUUCGCUAUUUGAAACGUGCAGUUUUGAGAAAAGCGUGUUCAAAGACAAGCUGAUGGCGCUCAUUGAAUUGAGCAGUUCCAUUUUAGAAAAAACCCGAAAACUAAUUGAAAUAUCAAUUUACAUUUUAAUCCAUUAUUUUGAAAGCUAUAAUUUGUCCACUUAAUUACAACAUUAUUCAUUUAAAAGUGAGUGAAAUUAAAUUAAUUUAUCAUCCGCAAAACCACAAAGCAUUUCACCGUACACCACAACUCAAUUCAAUUAAGCAUUAAUCUUAAAUGCAAUUACCUCUAUAGAUAUAUAUACACAUACAUCUAAUUUAUGUAUAUAUCUUUUGUUAUAUAUGUAAAUUCCCAUUUGCAUUAUAUAAUUAUACACAAUCGAAGUAAAUGCGUGGAAAAAGCGAAGAAAGUGAUUUAAUUUAAGGAAUGGACAAUUUAAGAUGCAAACCGCAAAUAAUUCCCCAAGCAAUCAUUAAAAACGCCUGCCACAUUACGCGCAAACUAAGAAAGUAAACAACAACAAGAGCAGCAGUGUACUUAGAGCAAACAAACAAAAACUCCAACGCACUGAUGUACCGAUAAAGCAGCAAACGCAGCAAACGUACAAAACGGUGAAAGCACACAAUUGAGCUUCAAUAGCGAUUGCAAAUAAGAACAGCAACAACACUAAGCAAUGCCACCAUCAAAAACACUCAGCACCAAAAACACCGUCAUGCUCCAACUAAAUGAUAUCUUUCUACUGAUAUUUUCAAUACUACGAUGCUUAUUAUUUAUACGCUUGACUGGUGGCGGAGGAUGCGGGCAACAGCACAGCACGAUUACGAUUCUCCCAUUUUUCAUGCCCAAAGUGUGAUUACCGUGCGCACUGUUAGACGCAGGCUAGCAAUUUCGCCCAUUUGUCUGACUGUCUGUCUGUCUGACAUUGCAGAACUGCAAAACGAGUUCGCACACAAUUGAUUUCCUUCCGUUUUGUGACACGUCGUAAUGUACAUAUGUGCGUGGAAUACUUAAGUAAGCGCUGCUGGUGGAGUGGGAGUACGAGCUUACACCUCUUUAUAUACACAGUACAGCGAAAGCAGAAGAUGUUGUGAUAAGAGGUUGGUAGACAGACAGUCAAGCAAGUGGUGAAAUCAACAAAUAACAAAACAAAACAAAUAUUGAGUAAGCUGGCAGAUAAACAAAAACAAUUCUAUAUACAAGUACAUAUGUAUGUAUUUAUAAAUAAACGGCCGGUACUCAAGGCAGGAAGUAUAAAUCGGAAAUAUUUAGUUACUAUCUUUUUUUUCAAAUAAAAAGCGCCUUUUUAACCGAAAUAUUACAGAAUUUUUAUUAAAUACAUAAUUUAAUUGAAUAUUUAAUUUAAAAGUAGAACUUUAAGGUGAGAAGAAUUCAUUAGAAUAUAUCAUAUUUGAUUUUUUUUGAAGAAAUGGAUAAUUUUGUGGUUACAUAUCUUCCAAAUUUCCACCUCAGGGCAACCGUGAACAUCAUUCAAAAUCAGAAAUAAUAAAAUUUGUAAUGUAAAUGUUGUUUUUUUGUUGUUUUAGUUAAAAUAUACAUUAUACAAAAGUAGUAUUUGCUAUGCAAUAUCGACAAAAAUAUUAAAUCGGUCUUUAGUCAUUACUCAUACCAACAGCUUCGUUCGAAGAAUAAUAAUUCAUUGAAAUUUAAAUUCUUCUUUAUCCAGACUUUAUCCCCACAGGGAACGCCGCUGAAAAUGUAACAUAUUUAAACACCAAUACUUGCAUAUUUAAGGUGUUAAAUUGCACACAAAUCCGAGGCAACAAACACCUGCUGUCGCGCUGCCCUGCAAUUACUUGAGUAACAAUAGCCAAGCUGACAUUCGUGCUUUAUGCUGCCAUUUACUCGUAAACUCUGCUGCUCCCACUUGUGUAUGAAACAUGCAGAUGAAUGCAAACGUAUACAUGUACAUAUACAUAAAUAUGUUAGUGCUGUAGCCGUCACUGUUGUUUUUGUUGGCACAUGCAGCGCUGCUGCCAUUAACAUAGCCAUUACCAUUACCGACGCCAUUACAAGUAAGCCAGCAGGGCAUAGAGUCUUUUGACGAAUCGACAUGCAAAUAUCAUUAUUUUAAGGUUAUUGGCAAAAGUCCUUUACGCAAAGCAUAUUUACACAUAUGGCCAUCGAAAUAGAUACACAGCGUUGAAUAAUUUGUUUUUGGAGCUAUUUAAUUAUUUUAGGUAUUUAGUAUAAUGGGGCCGAGCUGACAGUUCUUGGCCGCAUAAAAACCCGAGCCCAUUUCGGCUUGAUGCUUAUGGUAUGAAGACGUGUCCUGUUGAAUACCUAAGAUUCUUCCGAACACUUCAGGGAUAAUAUCUGUUCGUGGAUAGCUUUCUGUCUAUGUGUGUACUUAAUCAGUCAUUUCACCCAUCAACUAUGUGUCAAAUUUGAGAACUUUGGAAUUUGUUUACUAAAAAACCAGAUCUGCAAAAAGUACUCUAGUUUUGAUGAAAAUCUUCAGAAUUUCUUCAUAAUUUUCACUCAUUUUUGAAAAGACUUUUUCGACUACCAAUAUAUAUACAUAUAUACUAAAGAGUUAGCACAUUCCUCUUUCCAUGACGAUAUACUUAUUCAUACAAAGUCAAGUAGUAUGUGUGUGUUCUAUUUGCCGUUAGCCAUCUAUCCAAAUAUACACAAAUGCCGAGAACUCAAACAAACCAUUGGUGGUUUGGACGCCUCCACCGCCUAAAUAUUAUCGCACUAACGACAACCAGCAACAGACAAACCAUGGUAAAUAACCACCAACGUGACAGCAUCAUGAUCAAAAGUAAUAGCUGUGGCAGCCGGAGUAAUAUCAGCAUAAAGCCAUCAACAACCGAGUGUCGAUGUUGGCCACUGAUUGUGGCUGCACCCCAAACGUGGCAGCCGGCAAAUGCACCACUUAACUAUAUGUAAACAAAGUUAAAGUCGACUUUAGAUUGGGUAGCGGAAAGUAUGUGUUUUGCAGUUGCGACUGCCACUCAUCGUGCGCAGAUCGCCUGGAUAAUAGUAAUCGAAUUAGUGACGGCGUAGAUGGUGGUAAACUGCCAAACUAAAAUGAACGAAAAUAUUUGCGCCACAAGCAAGGAACUUAUUUUUUUUGUAUGUGGCGCAUUUUAAUGCGACAACAAGUUAAAUGGUAGUGCAAUUACACUUUUUUUGUACAAACGGUAAAAACUAUAAACUGACUGCAUUUGACGUUUUAUGCGUUUCACCAAUAUUUACAGCACUUCAUCAGUUACAGCACACUUUUGUCUGCACAAACUCCAAGCUAUGAUAAUGACUCUGUUAACUAUCCACAAAAAAACUGUGUUCAUCUGUCAUUAUUUGUUUAUUUUUGCAUAUGUGUGCACUCGCCUGUUGUUUACUUAUUGGUGUGUUUGUAUGUGUGCAUCCUUUACGCCAAUUCGCAUUAAAUUAUGUCCAUCAGCAAUGUUCAUUUCGCGCACAAUAUUUUACAAUUAAUUACAUUUUAUUUGUUUAUUACAAUGCCAUCAGUCGCUUGGAAGCUUUAUUUUUCACACAUUUAAAUCGCAUAGCUGAUAAUGUUCAUCAUUUUUGCAUACGCACAGCCUUUUGUGCCCGAUUAUUUACGGAUAAAAUUGCCAUUAUUUUAAAGGUAAUGAAGUAGAUUAAUACAACGUUUGUUUCGAAUUAAGAAGAGUUAAUGCAUUCGAUUGAAAGUGGUGGUAUGAGAAAAAUUAAUAUGCAUUAAUAAGCGGCUUAAACUAAGGUAAAUUGUGUAAAUUAUCGCAAUUUUAAUAUCUGAAUCAUAUUUGGAAUUUAAAAUUUUUCACGAUAGAUGUUAACCUUCUCACAAUGAAGCCUAGCAUCAAAUUGAAACAAGCUAUUGGGUCGUUCACUAAGCAAACUAAAAAUCUUUUCAGAGACCGGAACAAGUAAUAGCCAGAAGGUGUCAAGUCUGAAGAAUAUAGUGUGAUAGCACAUCCCAUUCAAGCUGCAAAAACUUUCGUCGAUUUAUCAAGCUUGUGUUCAAUCUUUUUGGACCAUAGUCUCUUGCGCUUCACAUUCCUGUAAACAACCAAAUAUUCGUCGCCAGUAACUAUGCGCUACAAAAAAUUGAUCAUUUCUUUGACGUUCGAUAAGCAAAACACAGUCGCUAAUUCGAUAAAAUUUUGUUCUGCAAGAACACUAGGAUCCCAUAUGUCAAGCUUUGAAAUUAAUCCUUGACAUUCAGUGUGCUUCUGAACGCUGCGUUAGAUAAAUUUAAUCAGUCAGCAGUCCAGUUGUUACACGGCGAUUACAUUGACCAACGACUUUAUUUGAUUUAAAGCAGUUUCAAGUGGACUACCAGGACGUAGUGCAUCCUCAAGAUCGAGAUUGCCAGAACGAAAUUUUGCAAACCCCUUUUGCCUUUGGCGCUUGGCCGUACACAUCAUAUAAUUUUUGCCUUGCUUGAAAUGCAUUCUUACCCUUUUGAUAGUGAAACAAUAAGAUAUGCGGAAAAAGUUGUCUAAAAUCCCCCAGGAAUAUGACAGCAAAUAAAAACUUUACGUGUUUAAAAAGUUAUACACUAUCUAAUAUUAAUGAGUAUUUAUAAAAUAGUACGUUUAGUCUAAACUCAUAUUCACAUACAGCGCUGCCUUCAAUCCAUCAUAUUCAGAGUUUAUUUUCACGAAAUACUCAUAAUUUAAGCCAAACAUCUUGCAUUAUAAUGAUUAAGUAUGUAUAAUGAUUCUGUCAUUUACACAAAAAAGAUACCCUUUUUGAUUGACGUGUGCGUCCCGAGAGCAUACCAAGGGACUAGUAUCCACAUUAGCUAACUUCAUAUUUUCUGUAUUUUUCACUUUCUCUUUUUAAUUUGCUCCACAAUUGAGUCAAAGGAGCUCAACAUCAAAGCAAUACAAUGUAAUCUCGUACAACAGAUGGCUUGCUUUUGAGAACACAAUACUUAUUGUGGCGUAUUCAAAUGUUGCCAUUUUCUGAAAUUUAAGCCAAUUUCAUAUACACAUAAACAUACAUGCAAAUUUCAGCUUUUCAUAUACAUGCACAUAUACAUGUACAUAUCUAUGUAUGCUCAUACAGAUGGUGUUUACAUAGUAAUUUUCGUAAGCACACGUUUGCCUUUGCCUUACGCACACCAAUAAUGGAUGUAUGCCAUCAGGCUGCAGUUCAACCCAUUCGGUGAGCAAUCAAUCUAGUCUGACAAAUCUCGAUGCAUGCAAAAGUUAAACGGAGAGAGCAUAUGUAAGAGAAUUGGCAUGGUAUACAAAAAGGAUUCACAAGCAUGCUUUAUUGUAUGUGUAUGCAAGGUAUAUGCUUUUAUGAAAACGCUUACGAAGGCAAAACUCAUUCGCCUAUAUGUAAAUAUGGUAAUAGGUAUAUAUCUGUGUACAUAGUUUGGGUAAAAAUGCACAAACUGCAAAACAACCCAUUAAAAUUGGUACAAAAAGCUUUUGACUCCAACUAUGUCGUUAAGAAAACGUUACGCUACAGAUCUUAUAAUACAAUUUCAUUUUGCUUUUCCCCAAAAAAGGCAGCUUCGACUGCACCGAAACUAUAAUACCCGUCACAGGUAUAAGGAAAUAAAAUUUUUUGUUUUGAACGGUGCUUAGGUGACUCUCGCAUCGCGAUGUGAUGUUAUGUAGCUUAACAGUCGCUAGGUGAUUUCGCGGGAAGCUGGCUGCCAGUUCGCGCUAUAAAAGAAACGCAGGCACUGUGCCUGGCCAGUGCUUAGGUGACUGUCGCGCCGUGAUGUUAUGUAGCUUAACAGUCGCUAGGUGAUUUCGCGGGAAGCUGGCUGCCAGUUCGCGCUAUAAAAGAAACGCAGGCACCCUGCCUGGCCAGUGCUUAGGUGACUGUCGCGCCGUGAUGUUAUGUAGCUUCAUAGUCGAUAGGCGAUUUCGCAGGAAGCUGGCGGCCAGCUGGCGCUAUAAAAGAAACGCAGUCACCAUGCCUGGCCAGUGCUUAGGUGACUGUCGCGCCGUGAUGUUAUGUAGCUUAACAGUCGCUAGGUGAUUUCGCGGGAAGCUGGCUGCCAGUUCGCGCUAUAAAAGAAACGCAGUCACCGUGCCUGGCCAGUGCUUAGGUGGUGACUGUCGCGCCGUGAUGUUUUGUAGCUCAACAGUAGCUAGGUGAUUUCGCGGGAAGCUGGCUGCCAGUUCGCGCUAUAAAAGAAACGCAGGCACCCUGCCUGGCCAAUGCUUAGGUGACUGUCGCGCCGUGAUGUUAUGUAGCUUAACAGUCGCUAGGUGAUUUCGCGGGAAGCUGGCUGCCAGCUGGCGCUAUAAAAGAAACGCAGGCACCCUGCCUGGCCAGUGCUUAGGUGACUAUCGCGCCGCUAUGACUUUUGCCGUGAUGCCGGUCAUUCAGUUUAUCCUUCGGGAUGUUGUAAACUUCAUUGCAAACUUAAUAUACCAUGUUCAGGGUAUGAAAUGCGACAAAAAAUAAAAAUUCACAUUUCAGUGGGUUUUGCUGAAGCCUCUUACACAUGAAAAAUUCUUCCCUCAAGCUUCAGCAGAUACGUUUUGAUUUUUUAACGCUUACAUUGAAGUGCUGUAAAAAAAAAUUUAUAUGAAAUGAAAUUUAUGCAAAUCAAUGAAUUGCAUUGAAAGAAAUACAUGCCUGUACAUACAUACGUACCCAUUGAAAAUGUGUUACAAUGUUUCUUUGACUUACAUAGCAUACAAAAAACGGCUUGAGCUUUCAAGAGGAAAAAUGUACGCCACCUAUUGAACUGAUAGUGCGGGUAGCUUUUGCAACUACCCAAUAUAUGCUCUUAACUAUAGAGAUAUGUGGAGGGUAUGAAUAUACAUACAUCAUAAGGGUGUUUUCUGUUUAAGAGUGUUGCUUUUGAUGGAAACAAAUUGGAUUCAUAUCUUGAUACUUGUAUACUAAGAAGAAUAUUGGAUAGGUAUACUUGUACAUGUUGGCAUACAAUUUUGUUUUGUGAAUUUAAGAUUGUGGAUUAGCUAAAUUCUUUAGUUUUAUUUUACUUCAUUUAAAGUUUUGCUGACGGGAAAACAUUUUUGAUGUUUUUCUUUACAAUAUUAAAUUAAAUUAUUAUUUCUUUUUAAAUGUUUAUAUGUUGUGUCAAAUAUAUAAACAGCAAAAAAACUGAAUAAAAUUUAAUAAACAACCUUAAGAUGUGCUUCUGUAUUAUUCUGAAUAAAGGAAGAUCUAUUUGCUCAGCCACCACGAGCAGUAUAUUUGUUUUUUUUUUAUUACAAAGACACUCUAAAAUUUAGAUUUUUUCACGGCUGGAAUUAUAAUUCAAAGCAUUAUUAAACAUGUACCUCUUACAUUAAUACCAAUGCGAUUUUAUGAUAGACGUGAAAUUCCACAUUCCACAAAGUCACUCAUACCCAACCUCAACCAUCGCUGCACAUAUUUUUAUAACUAUUGCUUCGUACUUUAUUUUACAAAUUAUUUUCAAUAUUUAAGGAAAUUUAUUUCAAUUUUUAAAUUAAUUAUUUGAUUACUUUAAAUUAAUAACAAUUUUCAAAAAAAAACCCACACAAUUUUUCAUUAUAGUAAACUGCGCAAACAUGCUUAUGCAUACCUACGCUGCCUUGCUCUUCCUUUACAACCAAUAUUAGACUACUAGAAAAUAUAUUUAUUUCUGCAAAUAUGUACUUAUGUAUUUAUUCUGUGCUAUGCACAUUAUCGUUGCACUAUGUAUUUGAAAUAUUUUUGUUAAAGCGUGUUACGCAGUCGAAGCUGCUUACCGGCACAAUUUCACAAACACAUACUACUGUGGGCGAUUUUUCACUCAUUUAACUUAACUUUGUCGAAUUUUUUAAAAAUAUUACAAAUUUAAAUUUUUCAUUUUUUUUUACUUGAUUUAAUAGAGAGAUAUAUUAAGAAUAUUCAUGCCAUACUUCAAGUAAAUCGGCUGAUUAUAACUUGAGAUAUUCUGGCAAGUGCAUCGAGAACAGAAGUUUCAAGGAAAACGCGUUUAAAGUUUUAAAUUCACUAAAUCGGCCCAGUUUUCACGACACUAAAAUGCCCAAAGUUUCGGAAAACUUCGAAAAUAAUUUGAAUUUUUGGAAAACCAUAACAAAUUAUGAAAACAAAAAACCAAUUUUUUACACUAAAAUACCCUUUACAUUAAAAUUACGCUCAUAUAUCUAUGGUGAUGCUUAAAAUUCUGUGAAAAGAAAUGCCUUACAAGUCCGAAUCGCAGCGCACCGUAAUAUAAGUACAUACAAAAAUAUGUACACAUAUUUGAAGCUCUUCUACCGUUUUGUGCCAAUUUAAUAGUAUUGGCAACCCAAUCACCGGCAAUCAGCUUGCAAGCUAUUCAAAUGCUUUGACUCCUGGCUGCCUCUACAUAAUGUGAUGCGGUUUAAUACAAUUUGUAUGGAACACUGAAUACCCGCACAAUUUUAGCCAUUCAUACAUCACGACAUAGAAUCUAAAAUCGUGCUGACUCAAAUACUCGCACAUCAAUAGCUAUGUAUGUAUGUAUAUACCUGUUUAUACAGUCGCUUAAGUAUACCCUUUAUGUGUAUGUAGUUGUAUAUAUAAACUUAAAUGCUUGCCACCCCUGUAACUUUGUAGCACACUUUCACCGCAUUUCUUACCUUCA